rnacentral:rRNA from 1 species
UACGUAGGGUGCGAGCGUUAUCCGGAAUCAUUGGGCGUAAAGAGCUCGUAGGCGGUUCAACAAGUCGGCUGUGAAAGUCCGGGGCUCAACCCCGGAAUUGCAGUCGAUACUGUUGUGACUUGAGUCCGGUAGAGGAGAAUGGAAUUCCCGGUGUAGCGGUGGAAUGCGCAGAUAUCGGGAGGAACACCAGUAGCGAAGGCGGUUCUCUGGGCCGGCACUGACGCUGAGGAGCGAAAGCGUGGGGAGCAAACAGGAUUAGAUACCCGCGUA